UGUUGCUUUGGCGGCUCCGGCCGCCAAAGGACCUUCAAACUCCAGUCAGUAAACGCAGACGUCUGAUAAACAAGUUAAUAAACUAAAACUUUCAACAACGGAUCUCUUGGUUCUGGCAUCGAUGAAGAACGCAGCGAAAUGCGAUAAGUAAUGUGAAUUGCAGAAUUCAGUGAAUCAUCGAAUCUUUGAACGCACAUUGCGCCCCUUGGUAUUCCGGGGGGCAUGCCUGUUCGAGCGUCAUUACAACCCUCAAGCUCUGCUUGGAAUUGGGCACCGUCCUCACUGCGGACGCGCCUCAAAGACCUCGGCGGUGGCUGUUCAGCCCUCAAGCGUAGUAGAAUACACCUCGCUUUGGAGCGGUUGGCGUCGCCCGCCGGACGAACCUUCUGAACUUUUCUCAAGGUUGACCUCGGAUCAGGUAGGGAUACCCGCUGAACUUAAGCAUAUCAAUAAGCGGAGGAAAAGAAACCAACAGGGAUUGCCUUAGUAACGGCGAGUGAAGCGGCAACAGCUCAAAUUUGAAAGCUGGCCCUUUUAGGGUCCGCAUUGUAAUUUGUAGAGGAUGAUUCGGCGAGGGCUCCUGCCUAAGUCCCCUGGAACGGGGCGUCAUAGAGGGUGAGAAUCCCGUAUGCGGUAGGUUGCCUUAGCCAUGUGAAUCUCCUUCGACGAGUCGAGUUGUUUGGGAAUGCAGCUCUAAAUGGGAGGUAAAUUUCUUCUAAAGCUAAAUACCGGCCAGAGACCGAUAGCGCACAAGUAGAGUGAUCGAAAGAUGAAAAGCACUUUGGAAAGAGAGUUAAAAAGUACGUGAAAUUGUUGAAAGGGAAGCGCUUGCAACCAGACUUGUCCGCAGUUGCUCAGCCGGUCUCCUGACCGGCGUACUCUUCUGCGGCCAGGCCAGCAUCAGUUCGGGCGGUCGGAUAAAGGCCU
rnacentral:rRNA from 1 species